ACGGGAGGCAGCAGUGGGGAAUAUUGCACAAUGGGGGAAACCCUGAUGCAGCGACGCCGCGUGAGUGAAGAAGUAUUUCGGUAUGUAAAGCUCUAUCAGCAGGGAAGAUAAUGACGGUACCUGACUAAGAAGCCCCGGCUAACUACGUGCCAGCAGCCGCGGUAAUACGUAGGGGGCAAGCGUUAUCCGGAUUUACUGGGUGUAAAGGGAGCGCAGGUGGUUCGGCAAGUCAGAAGUGAAAAUCCGGGGCUCAACCCCGGAACUGCUUUUGAAACUGUCGGACUUGAGUGCUGGAGAGGUAAGUGGAAUUCCUAGUGUAGCGGUGAAAUGCGUAGAUAUUAGGAGGAACACCAGUGGCGAAGGCGGCUUACUGGACAGCAACUGACACUGAGGCUCGAAAGCGUGGGGAGCAAACAGGAUUAGAUACCCUGGUA
rnacentral:rRNA from 1 species